rnacentral:rRNA from 1 species
GGCGUGUACUGGCGAGACUCCUUCGUCGCCUCGUCACCUGCCUCUGCUCUUAACUGAGUGGGGGUGUGGGGACUUGGCCGUAUACCUUGAACAAAUUAGAGCGUUCAAAGCAGGCAAUUGCAGUGAAUACAUUAGCAUGGGAUAUUAGAAUAGGACUGGCACCUAUUUCGUUGGUUUUAGGCGUGAUCAGUAAUGAUUAAUAGGGAUAGUUGGGGUAGUUCAUAUUUUGUGGCUAGAGGUGAAAUUCUUGGAUUCAUGAAAGAUGAACUAGUGCGAAAGCAUUCUACAAGGAUGUCUUCAUUAAUCAAGAACGAAAGUUAGGGGAUCGAAGACGAUCAGAUACCGUCGUAGUCUUAACCAUAAACUAUGCCGACUAGGGAUCGGACGAUGUUAUUUUUUGACUCGUUCGGCACCUUACGAGAAAUCAAAGUGCUUGGGCUCCAGGGGGAGUAUGGUCGCAAGGCUGAAACUUAAAGAAAUUGACGGAAGGGCACCACCAGGGGUGGAGCCUGCGGCUUAAUUUGACUCAACACGGGGAAACUCACCAGGUCCAGACACAAUGAGGAUUGACAGAUUGAGAGCUCUUUCUUGAUUUUGUGGGUGGUGGUGCAUGGCCGUUCUUAGUUGGUGGAGUGAUUUGUCUGCUUAAUUGCGAUAACGAACGAGACCUUAACCUACUAAAUAGCCCGUAUUGCUUUGGCAGUACGCCGGCUUCUUAGAGGGACUAUCGG